rnacentral:rRNA from 1 species
CGCGUAGGCGGUUCGUUAAGUUGCUGGUGAAAUCCCGGGGCUCAACUCCGGGGCUGCCAGUAAGACUGGCGAGCUAGAGCACGGUAGAGGCGGAUGGAAUUCCCGGUGUAGCGGUGGAAUGCGUAGAUAUCGGGAAGAAUACCGGUGGCGAAGGCGUUCCGCUGGGCCGUUGCUGACGCUGAGGCGCGACAGCGUGGGGAGCAAACA